rnacentral:rRNA from 1 species
AUUGAACGCUGGCGGCAUGCCUUACACAUGCAAGUCGAACGGUAACAGGUUAAGCUGACGAGUGGCGAACGGGUGAGUAAUGUAUCGGAACGUGCCCUGUCGUGGGGGAUAACUGCUCGAAAGAGCAGCUAAUACCGCAUACGACCUGAGGGUGAAAGCGGGGGAUCGCAAGACCUCGCGCGAUUGGAGCGGCCGAUAUCAGAUUAGGUAGUUGGUGAGGUAAAGGCUCACCAAGCCGACGAUCUGUAGCUGGUCUGAGAGGACGACCAGCCACACUGGGACUGAGACACGGCCCAGACUCCUACGGGAGGCAGCAGUGGGGAAUUGUGGACAAUGGUCGCAAGCCUGAUCCAGCCAUGCCGCGUGCGGGAAGAAGGCCUUCGGGUUGUAAACCGCUUUUGUCAGGGAAGAAAAGGUUCUGGCUAAUACCUGGGACUCAUGACGGUACCUGAAGAAUAAGCACCGGCUAACUACGUG